AGUGAACGCUGGCGGUAGGCCUAACACAUGCAAGUCGAACGGCAGCACAGUAAGAGCUUGCUCUUACGGGUGGCGAGUGGCGUACGGGUGAGGAAUACAUCGGAAUCUACUUUUUCGUGGGUGAUAACGUAGGGAAACUUACGCUAAUACCGCAUACGACCUACGGGUGAAAGCAGGGGAUCUUCGUACCUUGCGCGAUUGAAUGAGCCGAUGUCGGAUUAGCUAGUUGGCGGGGUAAAGGCCCACCAAGGCGACGAUCCGUAGCUGGUCUGAGAGGAUGAUCAGCGACACUGGAACUGAGACACGGUCCAGACUCCUACGGGAGGCAGCAGUGGGGAAUAGUGGACAAUGGGUGCAAGCCUGAUCCAGCAAUACCGCGUGGGUGAAGAAGGCCUUCGGGUUGUAAAGCCCUUUUGUUGGGAAAGAAAAGCAGCAGGUUAAUACCCCGCUGUUAUGACGGUACCCAAAGAAUAAGCACCGGCUAACUUCGUG
rnacentral:rRNA from 1 species